GAUGAACGCUGGCGGCGUGCCUAAUACAUGCAAGUCGAGCGAACAGAUGAGGAGCUUGCUCCUCUGACGUUAGCGGCGGACGGGUGAGUAACACGUGGAUAACCUACCUAUAAGACUGGGAUAACUUCGGGAAACCGGAGCUAAUACCGGAUAAUAUAUUGAACCGCAUGGUUCAAUAGUGAAAGACGGUUUUGCUGUCACUUAUAGAUGGAUCCGCGCCGCAUUAGCUAGUUGGUAAGGUAACGGCUUACCAAGGCAACGAUGCGUAGCCGACCUGAGAGGGUGAUCGGCCACACUGGAACUGAGACACGGUCCAGACUCCUACGGCAGGCAGCAGUAGGGAAUCUUCCGCAAUGGGCGAAAGCCUGACGGAGCAACGCCGCGUGAGUGAUGAAGGUCUUCGGAUCGUAAAACUCUGUUAUUAGGGAAGAACAAAUGUGUAAGUAACUGUGCACGUCUUGACGGUACCUAAUCAGAAAGCCACGGCUAACUACGUG
rnacentral:rRNA from 1 species